rnacentral:rRNA from 1 species
AUCCGGACUAAUACCCCAUAAUAUGGGCUCUCCGCAUGGAGGGUCCAUUAAAGAGAGCAAUUUUGGUUACAGACGAGCAUGCGCUCCAUUAGCCAGUUGGCGGGGUAACGGCCCACCAAAGCGACGAUGGAUAGGGGUUCUGAGAGGAAGGUCCCCCACAUUGGAACUGAGACACGGUCCAAACUCCUACGGGAGGCAGCAGUGAGGAAUAUUGGUCAAUGGUCGGCAGACUGAACCAGCCAAGUCGCGUGAGGGAAGACGGCCCUACGGGUUGUAAACCUCUUUUGUCGGAGAGUAAAGUACGCUACGUGUAGCGUAUUGCAAGUAUCCGAAGAAAAAGCAUCGGCUAACUCCGUGCCAGCAGCCGCGGUAAUACGGAGGAUGCGAGCGUUAUCCGGAUUUAUUGGGUUUAAAGGGUGCGUAGGCGGCACGCCAAGUCAGCGGUGAAAUUUUCGGGCUCAACCCGGACUGUGCCGUUGAAACUGGCGAGCUAGAGUGCACAAGAGGCAGGCGGAAUGCGUGGUGUAGCGGUGAAAUGCAUAGAUAUCACGCAGAACCCCGAUUGCGAAGGCAGCCUGCUAGGGUGCGACAGACGCUGAGGCACGAAAGCGUGGGUAUCGAACAGGAUUAGAUACCCUGGUAGUCCACGCAGUAAACGAUGAAUACUAACUGUUUGCGAUACAAUGUAAGCG